UACGUAGGGGGCAAGCGUUGUCCGGAUUUAUUGGGCGUAAAGAGCUCGUAGGCGGUUUGUUGCGUCGGCUGUGAAAUCCCGAGGCUCAACCUCGGGUCUGCAGUCGAUACGAGCAAACUAGAGUGUUGCAGGGGAGACUGGAAUUCCUGGUGUAGCGGUGAAAUGCGCAGAUAUCAGGAAGAACACCCGUGGCGAAGGCGGCUCUCUGGGACGGUACUGACGCUGAGACGCGAAAGCGUGGGGAGCGAACAGG
rnacentral:rRNA from 1 species